AUAUGUUCUUCCAUUGUGGCAAUGUUCUGACAAAGCAAGGCAAUUUGAAUUAGUAUCAAAAGAUGCAUCUGUGCCUGCCUUCUUUUUCAAAGAAAAAUUCCAUACAACUGUUCCAUUAACAAGAAUCAGGGAUGUUGCUUUCUUUGGUCUAUGGCUGCUUCUGGAAUCUUUUAGCUUCAAACAUGGUUGGCUCUGUGAGGACAACUGGUAGUUCUGCAAUGAAAGUGGAUGUGUUCAUUCUGCGAAGCUCUUUUUGACAGCUUCUGGAGUAUAACUUUAGUUUGAUGAGACUCUUCAAAGGUUGGUUGAAAGCUACAAUAUUUAGGGAAGAUUGGAGUUGUAAGUUGAAUGAGUUCUUGGUUGCAACUUAAUCUGAUGCAAUUUAGUCCAUCUUUUUGGUGCUCAAAUGAAUCUUCAAGCUGGAAUUUCAGGUGGGAGACAUUCAGUAUGAUCAAGAGCUACAGAGAUAUAUUUGCAGGGCUUGAAAUGACAUUAGAUUCAAAUGAUUUAUUUUUCCUCUUAUGUUGUUGAAACGUUGAAACUGUGGAUUGGAAGUUGUUUUGUUUUCUAUGAAUUUAAUGAAAUAUAUUUUUAUUUCAAGAA